CUGCCUAUCUUACCUCCUUCCCAGGGGUGGGUUCCAAAACCCGUUGCUACCGGUUCGCUCAUGAGCUUGUGCACACACACUACACUUCUGCACAUGGGCAGAGCCUUCCACUGCCACUACUUGUUCGCCCGAUCCGGUGUGAACUGAUAGCAACCCACCACUGCUCCUUUCUCCAAAAAGAAGUUGCUCUCCUUUGGCCUCAUGAGACCUCCUGCUUGCCUCUCAUUGUUUAAAUAUGCAUACUGUCUCCCAGAAAGUGUUUCCUGAUGAGAAAAAGAUUGAUGAGAUUUUCCGUUUGCCUAUUUAAAGGAGCAACCGUGCUGACUCUGAGGCUUCCACAGGCUGAGGGGAGAUGGGAUUCCACACCAGCUCAGUUCUACUGGAAUAAAAUCAGAUGUUAUCAGAGUACAUCCAACCUUACGAAAGCAGACCAUCACUUAGGCAAUAGCACUUGCUUUUUUUUCCUGUUGUCUCCCAGAUUGACUUCUUGAAACUCCUCUCAAUUUUUGAAGCAGGUACCAGGAUCUGUACAAAAAGUCUGUGGUAAUGUUGGUCUUGUUUUUAUAAAGCGGUGUGGUGGAACUCUUUGGAUUUCUCUUCACUGCUCAAUUGCCCCACUAGGGGGGGGGGGGGGGAGGAAAGGAUUUUAAAAAGUUCUGAUAAAGACGUGCUAUAGAAGUGAUGAAAAUCCAAUUUAUAAGCUACAUGUAAAUAACUAACCGGUAUGAUUUUUCUUCUGUGUAUGUGUAAAAAUAAAGGGUUAAAAAAAAAAACUUUUAAGAGACUCGCAUACCCUUUGCCUAU